UCAAAUCACUCAGAAAACUUAUCAACCACAGCCACAAACCAUAAUUGCAGUCAGAAUGUAAACCUGCAGAAAAUACAGUGAUCUGACAGAUAUUUAUUAUUUGGUCAGGUACAACUUGUUCCUCUCUGAAAUCAGUUUGUUAUGGUGAUAGCUCUGCUUCUAUUUUUUGUUUCAUGCAAUUGUGGAUUAUGUGGAGUUAAACUUUAUUCACAAGUACAUCAGAGAGCUGGUGCUUCUUUGGUAAGAGCAGAAGGAUUCCGUUCACUCAGUCUUCCACCCACUUGUGAUUAGGCUCUUGGCUUAUCCAUGUGAAGCAUGAUCGUGCUCCCUCUGCUUCAGAUUGCCACUCCGACAUCACAGCUCUGAUUAGUCCCAACAGGGUGAACCUCCACUACAACCAGGGAUAAGAACAUCUGAUGAUGACCAGACCUAAAGAAGAGUUUGAGUAAGCCCGAAAGUGUGUCUCUUUCACUAAAAUGUCCAAUAAAGGAUGCUGCCUCGUCUACCUGGGCUAUCUACUGAAUUUCUGAUGUUUUUCAGUUAGUUAAUGAAAUAAAA